rnacentral:rRNA from 1 species
UACGUAGGGUGCAAGCGUUGUCCGGAAUUAUUGGGCGUAAAGAGCUCGUAGGCGGUCUGUCGCGUCUGCUGUGAAAACUCAGGGCUUAACCCUGAGCUUGCAGUGGGUACGGGCAGACUAGAGUGCGGUAGGGGAGACUGGAAUUCCUGGUGUAGCGGUGAAAUGCGUAGAUAUCAGGAGGAACACCGGUGGCGAAAGCGCUCAUCUGGCCCAAUACUGACGCUGAAGCUCGAAAGCUAGGGGAGCAAACGGG